CUCCCAGAUUCAUGUGACUCUCGUGCUUCAGCCUCCCGAGUAGCUGGGAUUACAGGUAUGCACCACCAGGCCUGGCUAAUUUUUGUAUUUUUAAUAGAAACGGGGUUUCACUAUGUUGGCCAGGCUAGUCUCGAACUCCUGGCUUCAAGUGAUCCGUCUGUCUUGCCUCCCAAAGUGCUGGGAUUAUAGACAUGAGCCACCGUGCCCGGCCUAAAAAAAUUAUUUUUAUCAAAAUGACUUUUAUGUGUGUAAACGUUUAGUUGCCUGAUGUUUUUAAACUUUUAAAAUUAAACUUUUUCUGAUUAUAAAAGUAUUAAAGGUCUUUUACAGAAAAUCUAGAAAACAUAGGAAAACAUAAAGAAAAAAUAAUGAUAACAAUAAUCUGUAACUCCAUUAUUUUAAGCUCACCAAUUUAAAUAACUUUUUGGCAUAUUUCCUUCCAGUCUUUUUUAAAUGCCUUUUAACAUGGUUGAGAUCAUAUUUUGUCUAUAAUUUUUUACUUAAUAUUUUGCUGCAUUUUCCCAUAUCUUAAGAAUGUUUUAUAAAUACAGUUUUAGCAUCUGCAAAAUACUGCAUUAAGAGAAGGUGCCAGAGUUUGCUUAACCAGUCCCUUAUUGUUGGGCAUUUAAGUUACUUCUAAUUUUCUUCUAUUAUAAAUAAUGCUUUUUGCAUAAAUGCAUAAAGCACUAUAAGGUUAUUUCCUCAGAGAAAAUUCUCAGAUGUGGGAUUUCUAUAUCAAGUAGUGUGAAAAUUUAAAAGGUUCCUGAUAUGCACUGCCAAAUUGCUUUUUAAGAGGUUUGUACUAAAUUCCACUUACCCUAUUAUGUGGGAGAGAAAACCAACUAAAUGUCCUUAAGCUUUAAAAACGAUAAGUUUCUCAGAAUCUCUGGGCAAGGGCUAUAGCAUCCACACAUGUAUUUUCCUUUGAAAACUAAAUAUUGCCUGGUAGCAUAAAGUCUCAGAUUUUGUGGGGAGGGGUUCACACACUUUACUUCCCUUGACAUCCCCAAGAACCCAAGAAACAUACCUUUUAGUCAGCUAAGUACCUCCACCUUGCAAGCCAACAAUAUUUUAAAGAGAAAUUUUCUUAAGGUUAUACAACAUCAACAAACUGUCUUGCUGGGUGUCUCUAAAGUUCCCCAGAGAAUAAGAUCACUCACAGCUUUGGAGGGAGGACUUCUAAGGGAUCCCUGAAGGGAUCGCCAGUUCUAGCAGAUUUAGAGCUGCAGCUCAAAAUUUUUCUUGUUUGUAGAGUCUUUGGUCUAGUUCCAGAGAUCCCAGCCUUAGAUCUCUCCCAACAUUCCUCUGGGGCCCUCCAGACAUCCACAAUCUCAAGAGAAAUUGCAAGCUUCUCACCACCUCUCUCGCCCAUACAUGCUCCGGCUCCCCCCACUUCAUUCGCUCUCUCUCCUCUUCUUGUUCUCCCUAGCCUCUCUUCGUAUCCUCUCCUCCCCCAACUGUCUCUCUCCUCUUGCUAAGUGUGCCCUCCUGAGUCUAUCUUGUAAAUUUCUUUCUAAGCUUUACUUUUAAUAUUCUUCCUUUCUCUCUCUCCCCUCUCUCUUGGCUGAGUGUUUGUGUAACUUUUUUCUAAUCCCCCACCCCGACCCCGCCGGAUUGUCUCAGACUUUUAGUCCUUUCCUCCUCUCUCAAGGGGACACAGCUGACCUUUCCUAGGAGUAGCCUCUUUUUUUGUCCCCAAACUUCUCACCCCUGGGCUCUUCUAUUCUCUUCAAAUGGCACACAUGCCAUCCCUGAAUUUGCAGGAGUUUCUUUCUGCCUGUUUCACGCCAAAUAUAGCUUUUUUUUUUUCACACCAUGUUACCAAGGAAUAAUCUUAGUAGACCACUGUUAAUACUUCUAGACCCCACCAUGACUUCCUUCUGGUAUUUAUCCUCAUCAUACACUCCACGAAAGGAUCACUUAUAUUAUGCCCAUAUUUUCCUCAUUCUAUCCAAAUCAGGAUACAUAAGAGCAGAAGUCUAAGCCUACUUAUAAUUACAAUAAGAUAGGAUAUUUGAAAUCUGGGCUGUCCUCGGAAAUCUGGGACAUAAUGUUGCUAUAAAUGCCACCUAUCCAGAAUCCAGCUCUCAAGCAGUUUCAUAAGCAAGCACUCUGAACAUCCUCAGCAUUGUCAGGAAGUUUGUAUAUUACACUCAGACUAAAAAAGGAUUUCCUCUCAUUUUGUCCAUUCUGGGAAUCAGAAUUUUGACUGCACAUCAGGUGGGGUCUGGCCAUCCAGGUUGCUAUCUAGAAAUCACCACAUAGGGGGAUUCUUCACAAAAAGUUUUUGUGAGCUUUUUAUGAAAAAUCUUUCACUGAGGCCAGAAUAAGAUAGUUAAAAGCACAGAUUCUGGAGUCAAACUGAGUCUUUGAAUCCUGUGCUGCUGCUUCCUAACUGUAUGACUUUGAAGUAUUUAACCUUUUAGCUUCAAUUUCCUCAUCUGUAAAAUGGGAAUAAUAAUAAUAGCUAUUUUGCACAGUUGGUCAUAAAGAUUAAAUAAGUUAAUAUAUAUGAGGUGCCUGCAUUUGUAAGUACUCUGUGAGUAUAGAGAGGGCGCAUUGGUAACAGUACUGAUGAGAUGUAGCAAAGAAGCAAACCAACCAAAAAAAGCGGAGAAAACAGAGCAAUCUAGGAUCCAACUGUGUAAGACAGAGGUUCCCAAACUUUCUCAGCUCAAAGGCACCUUUAGUGUCUCAGUAAUUUUUUCAUGGUGACUUCUCCAUGCCCACUCCUCCUACAAAAAAACCAAAGUAAUAAUUCUCUUUAUUAAGUAGUUAAGUCCAAACAACUUAAUCAGUAUUUACAUCCUAAUAAUUUACUAACCAUUUGAAAUA
rnacentral:lncRNA from 10 species